GACAGAGGGUGCGAACGUUGUUCGGAAUUACUGGGCGUAAAGCGCGUGUAGGCGGCAACGCAAGUCGGGCGUGAAAUCCCACGGCUCAACCGUGGAAGUGCACUCGAAACUGCGUAGCUAGAGUCCUGGAGAGGAAGGUGGAAUGCUUGGUGUAGAGGUGAAAUGCGCAGAUAUCAGGAGGAACACCAAUGGCGAAGGCAGCACUCUGGGACGUGACUGACGCUGAGACGCAAAAGCGUGGGGAGCAAACAGG
rnacentral:rRNA from 1 species